AUAGCGUAUAUUAAAGUUGUUGCAGUUAAAAAGCUCGUAGUUGAAUUUCGGAGGAGAGUUCCUGGUCUAGGUUCGCCUUGUACUGGGAGGCUCGAAUCUUUUUUCUGGGGAAGCGGGGUGUCCUUAAGUGGGCGCCUCGGGGAACCAGGACGAUUACCUUGAGAAAAAUAGAGUGUUCAAAGCAGGCUUUUGCUUGAAUACGUUAGCAUGGAAUAAUAAAAUAGGACUUUGGUUCUAUUUUGUUGGUUUUAAGGACCAAUGUCAUGAUGAAUAGGGACAGUUGGGGGCAUUCGUAUUCCGAAGCUAGAGGUGAAAUUCUUGGAUUUUCGGAAGACGAACUACUG
rnacentral:rRNA from 1 species